CAACUACUCCCUCUGUCCCAAAUUUCUUGUCUUAGAUUUGUCUAGAUACGGAUGUAUCUAAUACUAAAAUGUGNAAAUUUCUUGUCUUAGAUUUGUCUAGAUACGGAUGUAUCUAAUACUAAAAUGUGACUUGAUACAUCCGUAUCUAGACAAAUCUAAGACAAGAAUUUUGGGACGGAGGGAGUACUUU
rnacentral:pre_miRNA from 1 species